rnacentral:misc_RNA from 1 species
UACGUAGGUGGCGAACGCUAUCCGGAGUGACUGGGUGUAAAGGGUCCGUAGGCGGGCAGGCAAGUCUGACGUGAAAGCGCCCGGCUCAACUGGGCGAGUGCGUUGGAAACUGCCUAUCUUGAAUCCCGCAGAGGUCGGCGGAAUUCCCGGUGUAGUGGUGGAAUGCGUAGAGAUCGGGAGGAACCUCGAAAGCGAAGGCAGCCGACUGGGUGAGGAUUGACGCUGAGGGACGAAAGCGUGGGGAGCGAACAGG